UACGUAGGGUGCAAGCGUUGUCCGGAAUUAUUGGGCGUAAAGAGCUCGUAGGCGGCUUGUCACGUCGGCUGUGAAAACCCGGGGCUCAACCCCGGGCCUGCAGUCGAUACGGGCAAGCUAGAGUUCGGCAGGGGAGACUGGAAUUCCUGGUGUAGCGGUGAAAUGCGCAGAUAUCAGGAGGAACACCGGUGGCGAAGGCGGGUCUCUGGGCAGUAACUGACGCUGAGGAGCGAAAGCGUGGGGAGCGAACAGG
rnacentral:rRNA from 1 species